UCGGUUUCUGAAUUGAAACCCAGUCGAGUCUGCGAAUAGGAUAUGGAUUGAAAGAAGUCGUUAUCUACUUAAUCCUCUGGAAAAUCCAUAGCGUUUUAUCCUGUAAUCUAACUCUAGAAGAACAUCACACAGGCCCACCUCGAUCCAGACUCCAGAGUAAUGGAGUUGUCGGCUUCCAUCGCCCACGCCACGCCGCAGGCGCGGCUGCUCCGGCCGACGGCCGAUCGUCGCCGGCUCGGGUCGCCCCUUCAAAGGCACAAUUUCUCUGCCUCUUCAGGAUAUAUGUCCUGUAGGAGCUUUGCUUUACUAAGCAAAGCGACGAAGGAGGUACCUUCAGUCAGCGCGAGCUUUCGACACACAUUUCUUCAACCGGUUGUUCCAGCUACACAGAAGAACAAACACGAUGUUACAUGCUACCAGAGACAAGGAUCUCCACGGAUUGAAGCCAAGUCAAUGGAGGAAGUCUAUGAUGCUUUGGCUGAGCACCUUCUUUCCGUGUUGAAGAAUGUUGAUCAUCUUGAUUCAAAUCUGAACAGAUACAUUGUUGGUCUAGCUGGCCCACCUGGUGCAGGCAAGUCUACUGUUGCCUCUGAAGUUGUCCGACGUGUCAAUGCGCGGUGGUCUCAGAAGCAUUCAAAAGACAGUUCACUAAAUUCAAAUGAAGACAUUGCAACAAUGCUUCCCAUGGACGGAUUCCACCUUUACCGUUCUCAGCUUGAUGCAAUGGAGGAUCCAAAAGAAGCACAUGCUAGAAGAGGAGCACCAUGGACAUUCAAUCCAUGUCUUUUUCUGAAAUGCCUACAGACCCUGAGAAAAGAGGGGUCAGUUUAUGCUCCAUCAUUUGAUCAUGGUGUUGGUGACCCAGUUGAAAAUGACAUAGUUGUAAAGCCAGAGCACAAAAUAGUGAUAGUCGAAGGAAAUUAUUUAUUAUUGGAAGACAAUAUUUGGAGGGAGAUUAGAGACUUUUUUGAUGAGAAAUGGUUCAUUGACAUUGACAUUGAUGUAUCCAUGCAAAGAGUGCUCCAGAGACAUAUCGGCACAGGAAAAGAGCCAGAUGUAGCAGCAUGGCGGAUUGCAUACAAUGACCGGCCGAAUGCUGAGCUUAUCAUGGAGUCAAGAAAGGCUGCAGAUCUUGUAAUCAGAUCGGUGGACUUCUCAUCCUAGACUCCCAUGUUUCUGAUUUGGAUUUCCAGUAAUAAUAAGUUCUGAUGGUGGUCCUCUAUGCCAAAAGAUUCGACCCAUUUAAUCAGUGUUCCUUUUUGUGAAAGGGGCAAAUAAGCAAAAACAGAAAUCCUGAUUCGGAGGGGAAAAUCAAUUUCUAGAACAUAAAAAUUAGCUGAUGGCACUGAAAUAAAAAAAUCCAGUUUAACUACAAUACAUUUUAAGUUCCAAACUGUCACAUGUAAUAAACAUGAGAGGGUGUACUAAAAUCCGGGAAUAGGAUUAUACUCCCUCCGUCCCGGUUCAUAGGGCUUACACGUAUUCCUAGAUUGUAAAUUUAGUCAAAAUAAUACAUGAUAUAUAUUACAAGGUAUAUAUCACUAGAAAGCUUAGAUGUUCUA